rnacentral:rRNA from 1 species
CGGGAGGCAGCAGUGGGGAAUCUUGGGCAAUGGGCGGAAGCCUGACCCAGCGACGCCGCGUGGGGGAGGAAGGCCUUCGGGUUGUAAACCCCGUUAGUGUGGGAAGAAGGGAUGACGUACCACACGA